rnacentral:rRNA from 1 species
AGGCCUAUCAAACCCGGAGAUAUCUCGUUCUCCCCGAAAUAGCUUUAGGGCUAGCCUCGGUCGUUCUCCCUCGGGGGUAGAGCACCGGACGGGCGCGGGGGCCUCACCGCCUACCAAACCCGACCGAACUCCGAAUACCGACGGGAUCACAGGCCGGGAGUCAGAACAUGUGGGCUAAGCUGUGUGUUCGAGAGGGAAACAGCCCAGACCGCCCGCUAAGGCCCCCAAUUCCAUGUUGAGUGGCAAAGGAUGUGCGUCCGCACAGACAACCAGGAUGUUGGCUUAGAAGCAGCCACCCAUUCAAAGAGUGCGUAAUAGCUCACUGGUCGAGUGGACAUGCGCCGACAAUAUACGGGGCUAAGCAUGGAGCCGAAGCGGCGGGACGGCCCGAUGGGCCGUCGGUAGGGGAGCUUUCCGUGCGCGGCGAAGCGUCGGGACGACCCGGCGUGGAGCGCCCGGAAGUGAGAAUGCUGGCAUGAGUAGCGAGAGACUGGCGGGAAACCAGUCCGCCGUGAACCCAAGGUUUCCUGGGCGAGGCUAAUCCUCCCAGGGUCAGUCGGGAGCUAAGGCGAGGGCGGCAGCCGUAGCCGAUGCACAGCCGGUCGACAUUCCGGCACCCCCGACGGGCGCUAACACCGAUGGGGCGACGCAGGAGGGUAGCCGGACGGGGUUCUGGACGUCCCCGCGAUGGCCCGUAGGGCGGCUCCCCGUGAAACGCGGGAGCCACGAAGCCUGAGGGGCCGGACGAAGCCUUAUGGCGAAGCCGGUGAGCCCAAGCUGCCUAGAAAAACCCCUAGGGAGCCCGAAGGGGCCCGUACCGCAAACCGACACAGGUGGGUGGGUAGAGCAUACCGAGGCGAUCGGGAGAACCAUGGUUAAGGAACUCGGCAAAAUAGCCCCGUAACUUCGGGAGAAGGGGCGCCGCGGAGGGUGAAGGGGCCUGCCCCCGGAGCCUUCCCCGGCCGCAGUGGAUUGGUCCAAGCGACUGUUUACCAAAAACACAGGACUCUGCUGAAGUCGCAAGACGACGUAUAGGGUCUGACGCCUGCCCGGUGCCGGAAGGUCACGAGGAGCGGUCAGCGAGAGCGAAGCCGCGAAUCCAAGCCCCGGUAAACGGCGGCCGUAACUAUAACGGUCCUAAGGUAGCGAAAUUCCUUGUCGGGUAAGUUCCGACCUGCACGAAAGGCGCAACGACUUGGGCGCUGUCUCGACCAUGGACCCGGUGAAAUUGCACUAGUCGUGAAGAUGCGACUUACCCGCGGAAGGACGGAAAGACCCCGUGAACCUUUACUGCAGCUUGGCAUUGGCUGCCGGGGCGCCGUGUAGAGGAUAGGUGGGAGACCGUGAUGCGGGGGCGCCAGCCCCCGCGGAGUCGCCCUUGGAAUACCACCCUCGGCGCCUUGGCAUCCUAACCUGCGGCCGUGACCCGGCGCAGGGACCGUGCCAGGUGGGUAGUUUGACUGGGGCGGUCGCCUCCCAAAGAGUAACGGAGGCGCACGUAAGGUCUGCUCGUCGCGGUCGGCAACCGCGAUCAUGAGUGCAAGAGCAUAAGCAGGCUUGACUGCGAGGCCCACAAGCCGAGCAGGUGGGAAACCAGGUUCUAGUGAUCCGGCGGCACAGAGUGGUAUGGCCGUCGCUCAACGGAUAAAAGGUACUCCGGGGAUAACAGGCUGAUCUUCCCCAAGAGUCCACAUCGACGGGAAGGUUUGGCACCUCGAUGUCGGCUCAUCGCAUCCUGGGGCUGGAGCAGGUCCCA